UACAAGGCCAAAGAUUGACCUAUGUAUUGUCGAACCUAUUUAAAUGUCCUUGGAAUAUGCACACCGAGAUAUGUAGAUGAACUAUGAUGGAUCACUAGUUAGCUAUCACAUGCUUAUGGCAUUGCUAGCUAAGCACUUGGCAAUCUCGUAAUAUCUUAUUUAGCUGUUUCAAGUGAUUUAUUUGACAAAAUCCCGCCGUUGCUUCAUCAUCCGUCUCAUCUCCCUUUACUCUGCCGCUGGCAUGCCUAACCACGCCGCCGCCGCCCCUUCGACCGCAUACCAGACCUCCUUGGCAGGCCCCGCUCCGAUAAAUCCCUCUCCGGCCUCUUUUCCGUCUACUUCCACAAUCGCCUAUUUGAUCUCAUCAUCGAGACCGUUGAUCGUGCACCGAGGGAACUCUGUAUUGCUCCUGGCAUCGUUUCUUAUAACAUUCUGCUUCAAUCUCUGUGUGAAAAAGGUGAUCUUGAAACCGCCCGCAAUGUGCUCGACGAAAUGUGCAAAACAAGAGUUAGGCCGGAUAUCGUCUCUUACGAGACUCUCUUGAAUGGGUACUUGAAGAAAGGGGAUGGCGAUUAGUUUGAAGAGAUUCUGAAGGAAGUCUUGAACAAGGAAUUGGAACCUAAUGUUGUUGCCUACAAUUGUAGGAUUUCCAAGCUGUGUCAAAAUUCGGAUAACUUUAAAGCCAAAGAGUUGCUCAAUGUUAUGGUUUUGAAAGGGAUCCAACCUAACUUGACCACUUUUAAUACCAUAUUGAUGGGUUCUGUUGAGAAGGAAAUACGUUAAUGCUGUAGUUCAAGCGUUCAGGAGGAUGAAGGACAUGAAAAGGAUGAAUGGUAGUGAGGGUGUGUCGCCUAAUGCUGACAUAUAUGGUUUCCUGAUCCGAGGUUUGAUUGAGAAAGGAGAGUUCGACGAGGCAAUGGGGAUUUGUAAGGAGUGCUUGACUAGAAAUUGGCACCACCAUUUGAGGUUGUGAAAGGAGUGACGCAUGGUCCGUUGAAGGAUUCAAGGGUUGAUGAGACAAAGGAUGUUGCAUCCAGGAUGAGGAUGGUAAUCAAAGUUCCACCAUCAUGUUCAUUGAUAAAGAAACUUUGAGUUACAUCAUUCUAUUCUUCAAAUGAGGACAUAGCCCUUCAAACAACUCAAAGUUUACGUUACGUUGCCGAGAGAGAAAUCAUACUCAGUUUUGGGAAGAUCAUGUGAUUCGAUCUUUGAAGUAAAAUGAAGCAACAGGGCCCACCAGUAAUGUCAUUAUAAUGUGUGUAUGUAAACGGUACACAUCCAUGAAUUAUAGCUUGGAGAAGGAACUCUUGUGGUCACACAAUUACCUGAGGUGAGUUUGUAUUCGGUAAAUAUUCAUGAUUCAUUGACCAUUUAAUCUCUACUUAUGCCUAUAUAA